rnacentral:rRNA from 1 species
CCCGUCCGCGUAGCAGCUCCACUGGGCUCCUCUUCCACUAGAAAAUGUCCGAUGCAGAUAAACAAUACGCUCAUGUCCUCCUCGACUCGUGGUUACCCACGUGUGAGUAUAUCAUCCUAGCACCAUCUCAGUAUCCGCAGACCAGAAGCGUUCCCAUCGAGCGCGUCCAGACGGAGGGCAUCCGGUCCCCAUAUUUAAUCGACGCCCGUAUAUUUCGAAUCUGGGCCACACUGAUGAAAAUAAAGUUUCAUUUCAUUUGUGCUGCCACCUCGGUGAUCAAAUCUUUUCAUUAUAGCGAUGUUGAUUUUACUUGGGUACCCACCAAAGACAAAUCUUUGAUGAAAGUGAUCCAUGUAUUGAUAUCUAUACCAGUUUUUGAUCUACUAUUUAUUUGGUCUAGUACACGUCUCAUUAACAACUCCUUGCUUCUCUGGUCAACCUUGUUGGAAAGUAAUGCUACAGUAACAAACAACCUGUGAAAGCUCCCUUGCUAAUUUCUAUACUUCUCCAAUUGAAAAUUUUACCGAUAUGAUGGUCUGCUAGAACAUUGGCCCUUCAUUUAUUGUAAGGAAAUCUACUUAAUACCUAAAAGUACAAGUAGGUGCUGGUACAUGGUGUUCAGGUUUAACUUUUUUUAACAUGUAAAUGGGGAUAAGCAAGCAAUUAAUUCCAGCGGCAUUUCUGUGCUUAAGAACCAAAGAAUACGGUUCAAUUCUGAGAUGGUACUUGACUGUCUAAUUUUUGUGAUUGUCACUAAUUAACCAUGUGGUCUACAUUUUAGCUAGUUCUAAAAUAUCUUUUGACAAGUUCAUGUAGGAGGAGCUCAAGGGUGUUUGGGUGCCAAAACAACAAUAGUUCAAUAGAGUAAAAGUAACUAUAGUUCUUGUUAAUGAUAUGGGAGGCAGAGAUGUGCUAAAUGUGAGAAAUAAUCCUGCUUUAAUUUGCAUGCUAAUAAAUAUAUAUAAAGUUUGUUGCACCAAACAUUAGUUAAUAAAGCUAAUCAUAUAAUUAGGUUAGGUGAAGACGGAUUGAUUGAAUCAAGGUGUGAGACUAAUUUUACCCCUCCUCAUGUUUAUAUGUCAUAUUUGAUGAAUUGAGUCUUCGCAACAAUGUGAAACGUACUCAGGAGUAGAAACAUAGGCCAUUUAUUGUGUGAGGAUCAAACAGAAAAUUGCGAGAAAGGUAGGGUGGUUAGCCAUAUUUUUCAUUUUAAAAUUUAAAUUGACUUUAAUCUUUACAAAAACUUACUCUUAAAGCGCAAGAAAUGCAUGUCUUCUUUUUCCAAGAAAGCAUCUCCACAGAUUUUCAUGCAUGGAUGUGAGAGAAAUAGUAAUCUUUGAGCCUAGCAAAAUAUGAUCCUUGAAAAGCAAAUAACACAGCCCAAACAUAGAACAUGAGAUAGAGAGGGUUGCGCUAUAUUUUUCACGCUAAAGAAUGAUUGACCUUCUUUCACGAUGCUGACUAUUGGAUUACACUUUGCACAGGUGUCAAAGCACAUCCACUGCAUAGAUCUCGAAGCAAGUAUUGCAUGAUCCAACAGUGGAUACAUGCAAAGGAAGAUGAAUUCUUUUGUGUGAAAGAUACAAUCCUCAUAGAGAAAAAAAUUAGGGGAUGGCGAGAAAAAUAAACAUGUCUUUCACUAUCUCAUUUCCUAAUCUUGAUGAGGUGUAGCAAAGGAUGAUGUAGAUCAAAUACGGCCACCCAAAUUAGAGCACCGCCAAAACCUUUUUCUUUCCACCUAACAUGUAUCAAUUCAUGCCUCAAACCAUAGUCCUUUCUGAUGGUUUAUGAUAUAUAAUUGGAGGAUGAUACCAUAAGAGGUGUUAAGAAAUGUGUGGGAGGGGAAGAGGAUGCCAGGAGUAGUUAGAUAUAGAUGUCACCAUCUCCUAACCUCAAUCUUAGUGAUAUUUAAGGAGGAAGGAAGGAGAAAAGGUCUUGGUUCAUUUAAGCGAACAGCUGGAGUCCAAGAGAAAUAGACAUUCCAACCUAUGACUAUUAGUGCAUGUCAUGCCUAACCUAUGGCCCCAACAAACCAAUCAGUGAGGCCAAGGACCACUCCUAGUGUCACAAUCCAUCUUUAGGUACUAAUAUCUGGAAUCGAGAGAAGAUACAAGGAUCACAUUAAAAUAAAACACGUUAUACAUCAACUUGCAUCUAAUUUUGAUGAACAUAAGACCAUGCAAAUAUUUUACACUAGCAUUCACCCAAACAAGAAGGAUAUGUUCCAAGUUGAUUUGACACCUCGAAUGGCUCUUCGUCACUUGGGGCUUUAGCAUGUUCCAAGGGUUGGGUUGUUCGCCCAUUAGAGCAAUACAUGAGCUGGGUUCAGAAGAUCUUGAGAUAGUUUGGUUCAUAUUCGGUGCGGGCGAUAGAGCAUUAAUAGGGCAUUUCCCUAAUAUAAAAGAAUCGAGAAAGAUACAACUUUGGUGUACCAAUUAUCGUGCCCAUGGUAUAUAUUGGGUAGCCAAGUACCGAGCGGAAAAUUGCUAAAAAUAUUUAAAUAGUAAGCCCAUCCCAAGAUGAGUGCUCUCCUAUUACAAGUGUGGACCAUAUUUUGGGCAAUGAAUCUUUCCAACUACUAUUGACAGAUAAGGAGGUUUCCGAAACCAACUAAGCUAAAUUGAAGUUU